CGCAGCGACGCCGCGUGCGGGAGGAAGGUCUUCGGAUCGUAAACCGCUGUCGGGAGGGAAGAAGGCGACCGGGGGGGAAAUACCCUGGUUCUGACGGUACCUCCAAAGGAAGCACCGGCUAACUCCGUGCCAGCAGCCGCGGUAAUACGGAGGGUGCAAGCGUUGUUCGGAAUUAUUGGGCGUAAAGCGCGCGCAGGCGGCCGAAGAAGUCCAUGGGUGAAAGGCCGGGGCUCAACCCCGUGCAUGCCCAGGAUACUGAUCGGCUGGAGACACGUAGAGGCAAGCGGAAUUCCGGGUGUAGCGGUGGAAUGCGUAGAGAUCCAGAAGAACACCGGAGGCGAAGGCGGCUUGCUGGGCGUGAUCUGACGCUGAGGCGCGAAAGCGUGGGGAGCGAACAGGAUUAGAUACCCUGGUAGUCCACGCUGUAAACGAUGGGCACUGGAUGCGGGGGGGAUCGGCCCUCUCCGUGUCGCAGCUUACGCGUUAAGUGCCCCGCCUGGGGAGUACGGCCGCAAGGCUG
rnacentral:rRNA from 1 species